ensembl:lncRNA
CCUGCCAGCCCCAACAGGCUGCAAAGGUGGUGAGGCUGAGAAUGGGCUGAAAAUUUCAAAGCAUGAUGGAUUAGACAGAGAGAGAAACAAAAAAGAAAGGCAGACAAAGCAGGAUAGUUUCCAUACAAAUUCUUUCCAUUAUACUGUUUUGUUUUGUUUUUUUUUUUUUUUCAAAGACUGCCAAGAUGGCAGGAUUUUUGAGUGUGGAAACUAAAGAAUCAAUGCAGCCCUGCACAGAAGCUUUCCUCCUUGCCACCUGAGGUGGGCAGCGACAGAUUAAAGUAUCACCAUGCAGACUGAGGUACAUUUUUGUGGAUAAAAGUUACACACUGUGGACAAGCAAUAAUAGCUACGGUUCCUUCAGAGGCCACCCUGAGCUACGAGCAGAGAGGAUUAUGAGUCAACUUCGAGUUUUAAAUACAAAUGGAACUGGCUGGAUACCAAUUUGAGUCUGUUCUUCCCAGUGAUUUCCAGCAAGAGCAUAACAUCUUCCUUCAUCUAUUAUCGUUUCACUUUUUGGAUCUAACUUUUCUAAAAAUCUGAUUACAAAUUGCUUUGGAAUAUUUAAGCGAUGCCACUGGAGGCUGAGACUUUUGCUUUAAAGUCUUAUUACAACUAAUGCAAAACAAGGAUGCUGAGACCUGUAACUGAUACAGCGCAAAUAUCCUGUCAAAUAAAUGCUUUGCAGUCAGUAGAAAAGUAAAAUGCUUUGUAUCUUUAAAGCCACCACUGAAAACAGUUAAAAACCCUUAGCAGCCCCCCUUCUCUCUGCCCCCCGUAUUGCUCUAUUCUGCAUGUUACAAAGGCGUAUUAUUUUUGUUGCCGAGUUGAUUACCCCACUCAUGCUUAAACAUGUUACUGCAGAUUACAAACAUACGGCUGUAAAAAUAACUGGUUGGACUGAUUUAAGCUGCUGAUGUUAAUCUCCAAUUUGGCAUGAGGAAAUUUACUACAAAACCUCUUUGGGAUCACCGGUGCUGCUCAGUCCCACAGAGAAAAGUGCGGAUUCGUAGAGUUUGGAGUGCACUGGGAUGGGAACAGUCUCCUAUGAGAAGCUGGGAGAACUGGGGCUGUUCAGGCUGGAGAAAAGGAGACUUAUGGGGGGAUCUCACCAAUGUCCAUAAAUACCUGAAGGCAGGUUGUGGUUUCCAAGAGGAAGGACAGAGCCGGGCUCUGUCAGUGGCACCCAGUGCCAGGACAAGAGGCAGUGGGCAUAAAUUGGAACACCGGAGGAUCCCUCUGAGCACCAGGAGCACUUCUGUGCUGUCCAGGUAAUGGAGCACUGGCAUAGGCUGCCCAGAGGUUGUGGGGUCUCCUCCUUGGAGAUGUCCAAAAGCCACCUGGACAUGGGCCUGGGCACCCUUCUCUGGGUGUUCCAGCUGGAGCAGCAGUUGGGCCAGAUGGACCUGGAGGGCCUGGUCAGCCUCAGCUCUUCCAGAAUUCUGCACGAAUCCACUUAGCGCAAAG